CACCACAGCUGCAUGGCUUCGUAGAUAAUUAACACCAAAAGGGUGCUGCGCUCCUCCCUCCUGCCCAUCUCCUGACAGCGGAGAGCAAGAGUGCUGCAACAGAGAGGGAAGAGGAGGAAACGCAUGCCUUUUUUCCUCUUCCCUCCCACCUUCCCUUUCUUUCCAGUCUCCCUCCAGGAGCACAGGCAGCCACAGGACUCCCUGCCCCAGCCUGGCACCGCUGUGCAGCCGACAGCAGGGCCAGGAUGCACAUUUGGGAACAGGACAUGACGCCCACACUCUGCAGGACGGAUGCAGGACCUGCCUGCCCAAGUGAUGCAGAACCCCCAGGAGAGUCCAACCCGGUCCUGUUCUCUCUCCUCACACGAGCCAGGGGUGGGGGGCACACACUCCCAAAGCCCACCCGCUCCCUGCUGCGGGCUGAGCUGUAUCACCCGCUGCCCGCUGGCAAAGAGCCACCUUAUCUGUGCAGGGAGGGAGAGCAGGGCCGCCCUGCCUAUCAGCGAUCAGCGGAUUACCAGCAGCUUAUCAGUUUAUUAGGGGACAAAAGACACUUAGCAGAAGGGUUCUGAGACAGUGCGAGAGGCUGAUAAGGAACAGCCCGGCUUCUUAGACACGCCACGUCUGGCACAUCACAGGCUGCGGGGCCGCAUUACAAAAUAAGUAAGUGCUCCGAGCACUUUGGGCAAGCGAUAGCGCUCCUGGGAGCCCGACGGCGCUGCCUUGAUGUGGGAUCUCUCCUUGAUGUAGAAUCCCUCGCAGAGCCAUUGCACCCACACCCCACUGUGCACCACGGCUCUCCCAGCCUGCAGCUCGCUGCCUCUGCCCAGCAUCCAUCCCUGCCCGGCUCCCAUCGCAUCAUCCUGAUGCUCAGCCCCAUUGCUGCCCCUUAGGCCCUAUCCUGGCCCUCCCACUCUUGGGCCAGGAGAACUGGGGCUCCGCAUAUGGGUUGGCGAUGGAAGAGGGAAGCAGAAAGCACCAAGGCAGUGCACGUGAGUGCAUCAGUGGAAAACACCUACGAGGCUUUAAUUUCCUCCCAAAGUGUCACAAAGCUCCAUCGCUUCUUUUCCUUCCCUUCUUUAUUUAUUUUUUUCUUUUAUUUCAUUCCUUUUAAUUAGGAACAUAAUGGAACUCAAUCCACUUGCAAUCUCUUCUGGAAAGAAACAGCCCUCCCUGGACUCCAAAUGGCCUGCCUAAUAGGGUUAGAGUCUGUAAUAAGCCCAAGACAAAAUUUUCUACUUCCUCAUAUUAAUUAUCUCCACUGAUCAACGCUGCUACACAGCAGCACCGGAGCACACAGGGGAUGCACGGGGACAGAUGAGGGCUGGCUGUGGGGGGAGCACACUCUGGGCACCCUCUUUGCAUCCAGGGCUGCAGGAACACCUCCAGUUCCCCCAGCAGCACAGGAUGGAUGGAGGACGGGGCAGUCUGGCUUUGGGCUCCUUGAACUCCCAUCAGACAAAGCACAGUGCUGUUGGCAUGGGAAAUGGGGAGGGAGGGCCUUAGGGGGGCUAGGAGCAGAGGCAAUGUCUUACCAUAUAAUAAUAGGAAGAGGGGAACAUGGAUAAAUAGGCUGACAGCUAAAGCCAUUUAGAGAGACAGACAGACACAGCAGGUGAAUAAUGAUAAUGACCUUCUAACGAGCUUACAUCUGCACAGCACCUUGCCUUCCACUGAAUCCCAAAAUGCUUUACAGAAACAAAAAAAUCCCAACCAAUCCUCCAACCCUUUGCUGCUUUAUUGCCUAAACUAAAGGUGUGGUGGGGGAUACUGCAGCUGAGCUGUGCUCGGGAUGGAAGGGAACGCUCUGGGAGAUGGAGGUGAGCACCAGGCGCCAGGCUGCUGCUUCUCUGAUGGGUGCCCCCAAACACAUCACGGGUAGGGCAGAAAGGCCAUGGUCCAGGGAUGGGUCACUACUUCAGGAAAGAAGGAUUAUUUUCCCACUACAGCUGCCUACUUCGACAUUCCUCUUCCCGAUGGCUUUCCUCCCUCUCUCUGCCACCACAGCCAGCAUGAAAUGCAGACCCCCCCAGGACACCUCCCACACUGUGCACCAGGACUCAGAGCAGUUCCCAACCAGCUGCCCAGACCCCAUCAUGUGCUCAAGGGCCAUUCACAGCCCUGCCUGGGAAAUAGGACUUCAAGAAAAGCCACUCCAGCACUGCUCUGAAUCCACCCAGUUGCCUCCAGGUUCUGGGAACCAUCGGUUAGGAUUUCUUGGGCUGUUUCUUUUGCUUCAUGUCCAGCUCCAAUCCAGUCCUUGUUUUUCACCCAGACUCAGAGCAGAAGCUUUCAAUAUACCUAUUUUAGGACUACCUCCAGGUCCCAUCCUACUGGCUAAUCACCACUGUAAACCUGAGCUGUUAUUACCUCUCGGUAGGCUGGGAAUGCAUGUGCUCCCCCAAGCUGUGUUCUCAAAGCAAUUGUCUCCAUAGACCUUUGGGGUAAAAGGUGAGCAUUCAGGACUAUUUCUUCCAGCCCAGCUCUGCUCUAAUUUCCAACUCUAUUUGUUCUAUUGAGUGGUUAUCAAGUUAAAAAUGCAAGGACUAUAGAUUUCUUUCCAGCUUAAAUAUCUGAAAACAAGUGUGCUAAUGAGCAAUCUGACCACCAUAAAAAUGAUUACUGACAGCACUUCAAGGACCCAACUUUACUGCCUUUAGAACUCCUAACAGCAGCAGAAUACUGCUGAUUGUCCCAGAGCCAUCAAUCCAGCACAGCAAAGGGGAAUUUCUGGAUGAAUGCUUAUAGGAGCAUAAAACAAGCAGAGAGGAAGGGGAAAAAAAAGCCAGGAACCAAAUCAUCUCUCGCCAAAGCUGCUCCAAUCCUAUGGCUAUGACAAGCUUAAGAGGUCAAGGACAAGAUUUUCCAGUGCUCUUAAAUCACUGCCACCACUGCAGUUCAGCGUGGCAGAGAGUUUUUAACAUGCCAGUUGCUUUCAAAGGUCUUUGCAGUGAUCACUGCCAUCCCUGUGGCAUUCAAAGUACCUUCUAACGCGUCCAAUAGGGGAUCCCAUGCCAGACAUGGGUCCCUGCUGACCCAGUGAUGCUCCACACAGAGUCCUCAAAGCAGAGACACCAACAUGCAGCAGGCCUGUAGAGCAGAAUGCUUAAAAGGGGAAUAAGAACCCAAUAACUCUGUGUCAGUGGGAACCUCAUUAAACCCCAGGAGGUCUCACUGAGCCCAAUCUCCCAUUGCCUGGAGAAAGAGAGCCUUCACGAGGAAGCAGACUGUGCACACGUGACGUGGAUCCAGCCUGCUGAUUAGCAACGCUUGGCAAGAGCACGCAAGCUGAGAUUUAUAAAGUCGCUCCCUGCAAGGCAGAUGAACAUCUUAAUCUCUUAGUCCACUUUUAAUAAAAACCUGACAUUAAAACAUGUUUGCACAUUGUUUUGCAUUUGCUGGCGAGCUGCGGUUUCAAUCUGCGGCUGCGGCUCCCUGCGGUCUCAGGGAUGAGCUGGCUCCUGGCUGCAAAAGCAUCUUCCCCUCUGCUGCAAUGUGAGUGCCAAAGGGCUGCAAGGGAAAAUGAAGCCAGAGGCAAGGGGCUGACAGGAACAAGAGCCCCACGCCUGGGGAUUUGCUGUGCAGUUUCACACCAGUCGCAUCCUGCAGCUGAACCUGCAAAAGAGGCAGUGAUGGAUAUGCAGAUGGGGGAAUGCCACCUCCACCUCCUGCAGCCUUUGUGCUCAUCCCAACCCAACAGGACUGGUUGAAAGCUGCCAUCUCCAACAAGCAGAGACAAAACCCUCAUCUGUGCUCUCUGUUGCCCAGACCCUACCAGGCUGACGUGGAAGCAUGAACCCGGCUGCUGCUUCCAGGGAGGGCAGAGCAAAGAGCAGAGGAGAGCCAAGCACAUCAUCCCCUUAUUCCACAGCUACCAUCCCUGUGCUACACAGUCCUGCAGGGAUCCUACUGCCCCAGGUCCAGCCGGAGCCUCAGCAAGAGCUUUUGCCUACUGCAAAUUUCCUCUCCCAACCCCUUGAACCCACCAGGACUGGCUCAGGAAGUCCUAAGGAAAAUGAGCAAAUAUGCAAAUACAGAACUACUCGGAUACUGACUUCAACUUGGAGGUAUGCAACAAAACCCUGCCUUUCUCCAGUGGCUGAUGACUGAUGUUGCAGUGUACGCUGCCCAUCUGCUAGGAUAUAAUCCUUACUGGAGAAAAAGAAGGGUCAGAAAAGAAUCCUGCACCAUUCAAACACAGCAUGGGGGUUUACAGGUGCCUGAUAUGUCCUCUGUUACUCUGCUGCUCACUCGUUUUAGGGUUCGGCUUUGUUCUUGAAAAAAUUCUAAUGGUAAAUGAAGUCAGCCUCAGGGAACAGCAGGAAGAUGUGUGUCUAUCUGUUGUCUCUCUGGCUGAGCAAUGACCCUCAGGGCAGCACCACCAGCACCCACACCCCCAGGCAGGUCUGUGCCCCAUUGCUCACCCAGCAGCAGCUUGGGUUGGGUCAGCAGCGGGGCAGGAGGGUGCUCGGGGUGACAGCAGUGACGCAGCCACACAAAAUGAGGUCUGUUUCCACUCCAGAGCCAAAGGGACUCUCGCCUCGCUGACAGUGUGAACAUGCCACAGCAGCACAGGCACAUGCACUAUUCAAAGGGUUUUUCUUCUGGGCAAGAUUGAAUGAAGCCAGAAUUGCAGGCAGAAAAUAAAGCUUAACGUCGGAUGGAGCGUGCAGGGAAGAGAUCUCCAUCCUGGCACCUGGAUGGCAUCAGCAGAAUGCCAUCCUGCAUUCCACCUGCAGGCAGGUGGAAGCAGAGCUGUUCUGAAACAUUCUGGGGUCACCUUCUGACUGUCAGUGAUCUGUUGUUCCCUUCCACCCAUCACCUACCCACCCUGACCAUCUGAAAUGGAGCCUCUUACAUAUCUACCAAGAGUGAACUCCCACUGCAUGGCUAGCUCCAGUUCUGAAGGACUAAUUGCUGUUGAGGCUGCUGGAAUUGAACUGUGAGUACUGAUAAAAAGGAAGAUAAAUUUGGAGGGAAGGGGAGCAAUGUUCCUAAUGGUUUCCUGGACAUCCUCAAGAGCACCGAACCCACAGCAGCCGCGCAGCCCGUGCAGCAGCUCACAGUUCAUGCACUCCUGCAGUGAUUUUUACCCUGUGUGAUCAGCCAGGAGAGAACAGAAAGUUCCCAGCCCUGGAGAAACAGCCCAAGGCAAUCCAGCUCGACUCAGAUGAAAACUCAGAGGGCACACCAGGAAGCAUUUCUGGCUUCAGAUGAAUUAGGAGCAAAUCACAAAAUGCUAAAACCACAUCAGGGGAUGUAAGCAACUUCAGUCCCAACUAAUUUGUGUUCAAAGGCAGCCCAGCCUUGGGGAUAGGUUUUGCAACAGCCACCGUGGGCAUUCCUGCCUCGGCAAUUCCAAAUCAGAUUUGCUUUAGACCCCUCCUGCAUUGGCACACCCCGCUGCCCAAACCCUGCGCUCCCGCUGGGAUCUGACAGCCAAGCGCUGAUCCCGCUGGCUUCCAUCAGCCACCUGCAAGGGGUAUCCUGCCAGGAGAAGGCAAGGCACUCUGCUGCCUGCAGCAGGCAGCGGGGGCUGCUCAGCGGGGCUGUGGGGACAUGGGGAGAGAAGCACCAGACCCGCUGACAUGGGUCCAGGGGAGCUGACAAAGUGACAAGGGUCUGUUUUUAUACUGUCACCUUCUUGUCCUCAGAAGAAAAGUAUGCAGUCCCGAGGGCUUUUCAAGUGCUGGAUGAAUCCUUCUCUAACACCCAGCACUGUUCAUACGUAGUGUGUAGGACAAAGAAAAUGUAAGAGGGAUGCGGUUGAAGCGUUACUCAGGGAGCCAACAAACAAGACAUUGCCCUGGUACACUGAUCAAGGCUAAUCCAGUCUCCUCCUCCCCCAUCUUUACAUCCCAGGGCCAUAGCUUCCUAAAAGAAGGGGAUGUACCAGGGGAGCACCUCACAGCCCUGUACAAACCCAUCCCAUUUGGGUUACAGACAGAGCACGGUGGUAGGGUCAGCCCCAUGGGCUGGCAGAGCUCUGCAGUUCAGUCCAUGGGGAGGAAGGGAGGGAUGGAGUCAGGAAGAGGUAAGACAUGCUGCCUUCUGUGAGUAAUAAAACAGGCAGAUUUUAGCAGCUGGAAAAGUCAAAUGGCUUUGCAGGAGAAUGAAGUUGAGGGAAGUCUGCCCACACUGGCCAGAUGCAAACUGGUAUCAUGGAAUCAUAGAAUUGCAAGGGUUGGAAGGGACCUCAAGAGACCAUCAAGAGGAGCCAUUGCCAUGUUGAGCCCUGACUUCAGCCCAGGCAGACAGAACUACUGAAUGCAAAAGAGUCAGAAAGAGGGGAAAAGGGGACUUACUGGUGCUUGGAACCACAGGAUCACUACUCUGCUCACCCCAGUGGCUUUUCGCAGUUCGGAUUACCCAACCUCUGCCCAAGCCUUGGUGCUUGGGGACAUGGCUUACUGAGCAUGGGGGGGAUGGGCUGAUAGUUGGACUAGAUGAUCUUAGAGGUCUUUUCCAGCCUUAGCGAUUCUAUGUCCUACAGAUACUUGUGCUGUGUGCCCUGGGGCUGUGCUCUUACCCAAACCCCAGCUACCCCUGCUGGCAUCCCUGGGAAACGGCUUUGAGCAGGUCACCAAGAACAGGUGUUGUUUUACCCAAGCUGGAGUUCCUCCAACCUACGCAGAGGCUCUUCCCACCAAGAAGCCUCGUGAAGAGCUGCUGGAAAAUAAAUAAAUAAACCAAAGUUGGUGGCCCUUCUGUGCGUAAAGCUGUCGCAUCGACCGAAGAGAGGGGAAAGAGAGAAAUAAAGGUCGGCUGUCCCGGAGGGAUUACUGUGAUGCCACGCUUUCUCCCGGCAAUUCAGGCAUUGAUUUCCAAGAGCUUUGCCCUCUGUCUCAACCCCGCACAGCUCUCCCCUCCCCGUGCUGCUGGCUGUGACAAAGUCAGGGGCUGCGGUGACAGAAAGCAGUUGGUGAGGAAUCAGGCGGUCCGUCGGCGACGCACGUUGCUGCUUCUCACAAGUGCUGCUUGGAGAUCACGAAAUACAUCCACCAAGUGAAACACUUCAGAGAGCCUUCGCAAGCAAUUAAUGUCUGCGGGCUCCCAUCGGGGGGUGUGGGAUAUUAAAAGGAACGCGCUCUGUGCAAGCACAGGAACUCAGAUUGGUUCCUUGGUUCAGACUGGUUUGUAGAUAGCAGGAAAUGAGAGUUUUGCUCCUCGCUCGUGAAUCUGUUUGCUCUCAGUUUGCAGAAAAGGCCACGGAGGGCUCCUGCAGAAGGGUUUACUCCAUUUCAAAAGUCAUCCCUUCACUUCCAUCUGCUGCUUCACACCCUCCUCUAUUCACAGAGAGGUGACCUGCGGAGAGCUGCUGCCCCCACAGACAGGGGAGUCACGCCAGUGCAAACACCGAGCUGGAUAAUUAAAGCAUAUUUACAUCCUAAAGCUCACACUGCGCUGAGCAAACUCAUUUCAAGUCAGGGAUGGGUCAGACCAACAGUGACCUGCCUCCGUCAGACCUGCAGGGAGAAGGAAGGAGGUGCAGGGAGAUUUGCAGGAGGAGAAGGAAGCCCUUUUAUCCUAAUUACAGCACAGCCCAGUUGAGCUCGGCUACCACCUUUCCAACACCUUCCACCAAACCACUUAAUCACCAUAAAUGAGUUUCUGUAAUUACAGCAGGAAGUGAUUUAUCUUGGGGUCCAGAGGUUUAGAAGCAUGACCUGAAGAGAAAGCCGGUGUCAGCAAAGAGGAUAACUUACUUGCAGGGUGAUCUCUGAGCCGCACAGCCAAGCUUGGAGUCUGUAAAUCCCUCCCUGAUCCAUCCCAGAGCCAGUAAACAUCAUGUUUGUGUGUGCUGAGCAUACCCCUCCAGGGAUCAUCUGCUGCGUGCUGUCUGGCACCAACAGGGAAGGGAAGGGAAAAGAGAAGGGAGAAGGGAGAAGAAAAGGGUGAAGGGAAGCGGAGGGAAGGGAAGGGAAGGGAAGGGAAGGGAAGGGAAGGGAAGGGAAGGGAAGGGAAGGGAAGGGAAGGGAAGGGAAGGGAAGGGAAGGGAAGGGAA
ensembl:lncRNA